UAAUACGUAGGGGGCAAGCGUUGUCCGGAAUCAUUGGGCGUAAAGCGCGCGUAGGCGGCCCGGUAAGUCCGUUGUGAAAGUCAAAGGCUCAACCUUUGAAAGCCGAUGGAUACUGCCGGGCUAGAAUCCGGAAGAGGCGAGUGGAAUUCCUGGUGUAGCGGUGGAAUGCGCAGAUAUCAGGAGGAACACCAAUAGCGAAGGCAGCUCGCUGGGACGGUAUUGACGCUAAGGCGCGAAAGCGUGGGGAGCAAACAGGAUUAGAUACCCUGGUAGUCCACGCCGUAAACGAUGGGCACUAGGUGUGGGAGGUGUCGACUCCUCCCGUGCCGACGCUAACGCAUUAAGUGCCCCGCCUGGGGAGUACGGCCGCAAGGCUA
rnacentral:rRNA from 1 species